GGGGCUGCAAUCAAACAAUGCACGAUGAAUAUUCAUCAUGGAGCUGAGGAAAUACAAAAAUUAUUGGAAAUGCUAUCUCUUGAACAAUGACUAAAUGCAUUUAGAGUUUAGUCCCCACAGGUAGAAGAGUGUUGAUAACACAACAGUGUCUUGGCUGGUGCUGAGCUGUACUCACAGAGCAUCAAGGCCUGUGUAUCCAACAGUCCCUCCCCAACAAAGAGAGGCUGGGGGUGGAGUAGAGGAUGGGAAGGGACACUGCUGAAACAGCAUACCCAA